CCCUUAGAUGUCCUGGGCCGCACGCGCGCUACACUGAUGCAUGCAACGAGUUUAUAACCUUGGCCUGAAAGGUCUGGGUAAUCUUUUGAACGUGCAUCGUGAUAGGGAUAGAUUAUUGCAAUUGUUAAUCUUGAACGAGGAAUUCCUAGUAAACGCGAGUCAUCAGCUCGCAUUGAUUACGUCCCUGCCCUUUGUACACACCGCCCGUCGCACCUACCGAUUGAAUGGUUCGGUGAAGAUCUCGGACUCCGAUAUUUAUUCUUUAUUGAGUUUAUAUUGUGGGAAGUUAUCUAAACCUCAUCAUUUAGAGGAAGGUGAAGUCGUAACA
rnacentral:rRNA from 1 species